AUAUAUAUAGUAUAAUAAUUACAUUUAAUUUCCAAUUAAAAAAUUUAAUAAUUUUAAUAUAUAUA
rnacentral:tRNA from 1 species